rnacentral:rRNA from 1 species
CGCGUAGGUGGGUUUGUAAGUCAAGUGUGAAAUUCCGGGGCUCAACUUCGGAACUGCACGUGAAACUACAAGUCUCGAGGAUUGGCGGAGAAAAACGGAAUUCCACAAGUAGCGGUGAAAUGCGUAGAUAUGUGGAAGAACACCGGUGGCGAAGGCGGUUCUCUAGCUUAUUCCUGACACUGAGGCGCGAAAGCAAGGGGAUCAAAAC